rnacentral:tRNA from 1 species
CGGAAAGUAGCUCAGUGGGUAGAGCAUCUGACUCAUCAUCAGACGGUCGAGGGUUCAACUCCCUCCUAUCCGACCA